CCUGGCGGCUGUAGCGCGGUGGUCCCACCUGACCCCAUGCCGAACUCAGAAGUGAACCGCCGUAGCGCCGAUGGUAGUGUGGGGCCUCCCCAUGCGAGAGUAGGGAACUGCCAGGC
rnacentral:rRNA from 1 species